UUGUGUUUGUAUCGUUAUAUCUUUGCGCCUCGGAUAAUAAUUAUUCUAUGACAUCGAUUCUGACUUGUCAUAUGUAAUACAUAUAAAUUACAUUCCUUAUUUUUAAUUUCUGAUUAUCCUAAAAAAUUUAUGGCAAUUCAUUCGUGAUACUCAACUCCGUCAAAAUAUUUGUAUGUUGGAUAAAUAAGUAUGAAGCCAGCAACUCCGUCAAAAUAAGCUUGGGUUUCCAAUUGAACCAUAUAGGUUGGUCUAGUUCGGUACUCUACGUACCAUUAUUGAUUAUGUGGUAAGUCAUGAUAUUCAACUCAAAUCCAAAGAUUAAUAAUAUUAUAAAAUUGUAACUUCUUAAAACUCUCUUCAAUUUUAAUCUGGUGAUUUUUCUUUUCUCUAUCUAAGUUCAUCUUAAUGAUAGUGUGACUGAUACUUUUUCUUGACAAUCUCAGACCUAUGAUUACUAAACAACUAUGUUUGGAUAUAUUAAGAUUUUGUCUCAAUAAUUCUCUAAGUCCUCCAGUAGAUUCUUAGUAUUGGAUUUGACAUCUAAAGACUCUAUAGAAAAUUAAGUUUCUUGUUUCGUUGGGUUGUCCCAAUUCGAUCUCGACUUGUGGUAUCUUGCAUUGUCGUCGUAUAUUGGAGUCUAGUACUUAUAUUCAAUGUAUGAAUCACAAUGAGUAUUUACAUCAUUGAUUAGAGAUGCACACUCUCUGGCAAAUGUGGUAUUAUCUUGGUUUCAAUAAUCAUAAGUUUGUCGAUCACUAGUACUUUCAAUUUCUUGAAGUUGAAUGCCUCUCGAGAUUCUAGCUCUCUUUCCUUAUUGGAAUUUGGUGUGCUUGAAAAGUUAGAUAUUCUAUUUGUAUUGUUAAAUAAUUUUUUUCCAAUUUUCAAGCUUACAUUGGUAGAUCAUUCUCUAAACUCUUUAAUUGGAAGUUGUUACUUGUCUCAUUCUUAUCAACGAGAGUAUAUCAUGGUGUCUUAGCAUGAUUUUGGGGAAUAUGUUACGAUUCUAAUGUUGUUGGAAGCGCUAUUGAAAACCAUGGAGUUGCUGGUUUUGGUGGCUUGGUGAGAUCUGGUAAAAGUGAUUGGAUCAUUGGCUUGCAUUGUCACAUUAACUAUAGUAAUAAUCUUAAUGCAAAAUUAUUAAUCAUUUUGCAUAGGUUCCGAAUUAGUUGGAGAUUGGAAACACUUAAUCUUAUAUGUUAUUCAGACUUCUUCUUUACUAUAUAGUUAGUUAAUGAACUAGUUCAUCCUCUUCACGAAUUUCAUGCUAUUUUGUAUGACAUUAAGCUAGGAUUGAGUAGAAAUUAGAGUAUGAAGUUGUGAUAUAGUUUUAGUCUCUUAGAGAGAAAAAGAAAUCAUUAGUUUGACUCCAUAAAGAUUAUUCAAUCUCCAUUAAUAGAGUUUGCUUCCAUUAUGUUUGUAGAUGUUUUGAGACCCUUUCUUAAAAAGUGGUUGAUUUUUUUAUUUAUAUUUUCUCUUUUUAUUCUGUUAAAAAAAAUUAUUCUUAUAAAUUUUAAAUAAUUUUGAUGUCAAAUUUAUAGAAUUGCUUUUAUAUGAAAAAUUUCAUUAAAGUGAAUAAAAAUAUUAUUCUAAUCCAUUACAUUUAAGUGUCAAUAUUUUUUAUAAGAGAAAUAGGACUCUACCACUAAUCCGAAAAAUAAAAAAUCCUUCACCUCUUAUUUUGACCAAGAAAUCCUUUUAAUUUCCUCUACCACUUUGCUCUAGUUACAAACUCCCCCCAAAUAAGCACUAGACUUUUGAAAGCCAAAUAAUAUGACAAGUCCUCUCAAAUUUCUUUCCUUUUAGUAAUUGGUUGACCUGUGAAAAGUGAUCCAACACACAAACACAAGUAAUUUCCUCCGAGUACAUCCAAUCUGUGAUAUUCCUCCAAAUCUUUAUGGUUCCCGAACAAGAACGAAAUAAAUGUUCCACCGAUUUUUUGUCACCAAAACAUAUCACACAUAAAAUAUGAUUUAUUAGAAUUUAGGUUGACUUUAACUCAACCACUAUAAUAAUUAAUUUUAAAGUAAGGAUUACUCCAUUGAUAAACAAAGAUUUAAGUUAUAUUUUAUCUAAUAUUAAACUUCUAAUGCAUUUAAGAUUAGACAUUUGAAUUGUAAUCUAAUUUUUCUGAUAGUGAUAAUCUUAUAAUUGAUAAUUCAAAGAUUUUUGCAUAAAUUCUAAAUAUUAUCAAGAAUUUGGAUUAGAUGUAACUCGAUUUUUAUAAAAAUUUUAUUUUAAUGUGAAGACUCCUCUCACUUAUAAACACAUUUUUAUACUAUAUAUAAUCUAAUGUAUGAUUCUUAACAUGGCUUAAAGGGAGAUUCCAUUAAAGAUAAAAUUUCCAACAAAAUUUAAUCACCGGUGAAAUAAAUGAAUACUUUAGAUCAAUAACAUGGUCUCUGAAGGUAUAUCUUAGUGGUGGACGUUGAAAAAUAUUUAUGAAAGUUUAGAAUUAACUGGAACAUAGGUCGAGAGUUGGUUCGAUAAUUUAUGUUGAAUUUGGUUCGUAAACCAAAUGAACUUAAACUUGAGUUGAUAAUGGAGUUCGUUAACUAAAUGAAGUGAACUUGAGUUAUAUAUUGUUAGACUCAUUUGGUUUAAUUUUUUGCCUUUUGUUUUGAAUUUGAGGUUUGAGUAGAAUGUGGAGUGUAAUGGAUUUGAUUUUGAUGUUUGAUUUUGUGAAGGCAGUAGAAUGUGUAUUGGUUAGUGGUGAAUCCAUCCAAAACACAUGUGGUUCUUGGAAAUGCGGUAGUGUAUAGAUUUUAUAUUUAAAUUUGAUGGUUGAUUUUGAGAUUUGAUUUUUGAUGGUUAAGUGGAUUUAGGAUUUAUUUUUGAAUUUGGAUAUUUUGAUUUUUUCUAGUUUAGUUUUUUUUUUUUGGAUUUUAGGAUUAAAAUGAUGAUUAAGAUACUGUUUUCUUUUUAAGUUAUGAUUGAUAUAUUCAGUAAAAAAUAGUCUGUUGCAACUUGCCACCUCAACAUUAUUUAAAUAAAUUGUGUAUAUUUUAAAAAAUAAAUGACUUAUAUAGACAAAAAAAUAAAGAAAGUGUUAUAACUAAUAAGAUAAAUGACCUUUAGUCUAAUUUUGUCUAUAUAUAUACAUAUAACUCCUUUAUUGACUAAUAUUAAU
rnacentral:lncRNA from 1 species